GCCACAGGUGGCUACUGAGCACUUGAAACAUAGCUACUCUGAAUUGGGAUGCGUGAUCAGUGUAAAAUUCACAGGAUUUCGAAGACUUUGUAAGAGACUGCACAAGCAGGGAAAGGGCAGAGAGCAAGAAGGACAGAGGAUAAGCAGGCUCUGCCCUGAGAGCAAUGAACCCGAUGUGGGGCUUGAACUCAUGAACUGUGAGAGCAUGACCGGAGCCAAAGUCGGACGAUCAACCAACUUCCACCUCCCAAAGUACAUCUGCUCUCCUUAGGUGGACUUCAGAAAUGGGCAUUACUCAGGCUGGAGAUGAAUCAGCGCACAAUGAAGGAGACAGGCAGGGGAUCCAGACAAAGGAGAGAAGUAUUGAAAAAAAAUCCCCAUUUAUACCAAAUCAAGAAAGUGAUCCUUUCAGCAGAGGCUGUCUCAAGAAACUUCCACUCCUUCGCAAUGCAAAUUUAACUAAACAACUUGAUUUUCCCAUCAAGUUCAUUAAAAAUGGAAUAAUUUCACAUAUGUGGCCAUUAAGCACAAUGUCGUUGUUUAUAAGCUUGGCUCACACUCACACGAGGAUGAUUACCCCAGAGUACUUACCGCCUUAGGACAUUUCUGAGAUACUGGUGUCACUAUGUCAUCACUAUCUGUAGUCUGUGCUUCACUGACUUCAGAAGCUUGUUCACAGGAUUCUUUAUCUGUUACAGAAAAGGCUAGAAUUACAGAACGAUUUCCAAGCACCCUAUCUAAACCCAGUACCUUCAUCCUCAAUCCAUUAUCUGGCCACUAGUUCUGAGUACCUAGAUUUUGGCUUCAUUUACUGAGAAUCAAACCCUCCUUUUCUUUUUUUUUUUUUUUAUUAUAUGAAAUUUAUUGUCAAAUUGGUUUCCAUACAAC